AGAAUUUGAUCUUGGUUCAGAUUGAAUGCUGACGGCGUGGAUGAGGCAUGCAAGUCGCACGAAACUACUUGUAGUUUAGUGGCGGAAGGGUUAGGAAUACAUGAAUAACUUGCCUCCAACAUGGGGAUAACAGCUGGAAACGGCUGCUAAUACCUAAUGAGGUAUAACAGUGGCAUCAUUGUAAUAUCAAAGAUGGGGAUCUUCGGACCUAUCGGUUGGAGAGAGGUUCAUGGGAUAUCAGCUAGUUGGUGAGGUAACGGCUCACCAAGGCAAUGACGUCUAGGCGGACUGAGAGGUUGACCGCCAACACUGGGACUGAGACACUGCCCAGACUCCUACGGGAGGCUGCAGUCGAGAAUCAUUCGCAAUGGGCGCAAGCCUGACGAUGCGACGCCGUGUGAACGAAGAAGGCUCUAGGGUCGUAAAGUUCUUUCGCCUGGGAACAAGCGAUAUAGGUGAAUAAUCUAUAAAGUUGAGGGUACCAGGUAAAGAAGCACCGGCUAACUCCGUGCCAGCAGCUGCGGUAAUACGGAGGGUGCAAGCAUUAAUCGGAUUUACUGGGCGUAAAGGGCGCGUAGGCGGCUAAGCAAGUCAGAUAUGAAAUUCCAGGGCUCAACCUUGGAGCUGUGUCUGAAACUGCCUAGCUUGAGGAUAAACGGAGAAAAUGGAAUUCCACGUGUAGCGGUGAAAUGCGUAGAUAUGUGGAAGAACACCGGUGGCGAAAGCGGUUUUCUAGUUUAUAACUGACGCUGAGGCGCGAAAGCAAGGGGAGCAAACAGGAUUAGAUACCCUGGUAGUCCUUGCCGUAAACGAUGCAUACUUGAUGUAGAUGGGCUCAACCCUGUCUGUGUCGAAGCUAACGCGAUAAGUAUGCCGCCUGGGAAGUACACUCGCAAGGGUGAAACUCAAAAGAAUUGACGGGGACCCGCACAAGCAGUGGAGCAUGUGGUUUAAUUCGAUGCAACGCGAAGAACCUUACCCAGGCUUGACAUGCAGAGGAAUGUUUAAGAGAUUAAACAGCCCUUCGGGGCCUCUGUGCAGGUGCUGCAUGGCUGUCGUCAGCUCGUGCCGUGAGGUGUUGGGUUAAGUCCCGCAACGAGCGCAACCCUUAUCGUUAGUUGCCAGCAUUUAAGGUGGGGACUCUAGCGAGACUGCCUGGGUUAACCGGGAGGAAGGUGAGGAUGACGUCAAGUCAGUAUGGCCCUUAUGUCUGGGGCUACACACGUGCUACAAUGGUCGGUACAGAAGGCAGCAAAGCCGGAAGGUGGAGCAAAUCCUAGAAAGCCGAUCCCAGUUCGGAUUGUAGUCUGCAACUCGACUACAUGAAGUUGGAAUUGCUAGUAAUGGCGUGUCAGCAAUAACGCCGUGAAUACGUU
rnacentral:rRNA from 1 species